AACGAACGCUGGCGGCAUGCCUAACAAAUGCAAGUCGAACGAGAUCUUCGGGUCUAGUGGCGCACGGGUGCGUAACGCGUGGGAAUCUGCCCUUUGGUUCGGAAUAACAGUUGGAAACGACUGCUCAUACCGGAUGAUGACGAAAGUCCAAAGAUUUAUCGACAGAGGAUGAGCCCGCGUAGGAUUAGCUAGUUGGUGUGGUAAAGGCGCACCAAGGCGACGAUCCUUAGCUGGUCUGAGAGGAUGAUCAGCCACACUGGGACUGAGACACGGCCCAGACUCCUACGGGAGGCAGCAGUGGGGAAUAUUGGACAAUGGGCGAAAGCCUGAUCCAGCAAUGCCGCGUGAGUGAUGAAGGCCUUAGGGUUGUAAAGCUCUUUUACCCGGGAUGAUAAUGACAGUACCGGGAGAAUAAGCUCCGGCUAACUCCGUGCCAGCAGCCGCAGUAA
rnacentral:rRNA from 1 species